rnacentral:rRNA from 1 species
ACGGGGGGAUCCCAAGUGCCAUUCUUAACGGGAUGGCUUUUCAUUAGUGUAAAGAGCUUUUGGAAUAAGGGCUGGGCAAGACCGGUGCCAGCCGCCGCGGUAACACCGGCAGCUCUAGUGGUAGCAGUUUUUAUUGGGCCUAAAGCGUCCGUAGCCGGUUUAAUAAGUCUCUGGUGAAAUCCUGUAGCUUAACUGUGGGAAUUGCUGGAGAUACUAUUAGACUUGAGACCGGGAGAGGUUGGAGGUACUCCCAGGGUAGAGGUGAAAUUCUGUAAUCCUGGGAGGACCGCCUGUUGCGAAGGCGUCUAACUGGAACGGUUCUGACGGUGAGGGACGAAAGUUAGGGGCGCGAACCGGAUUAGAUACCCGGGUAGUCCUAACUGUAAACGAUGCGGACUUGGUGUUGGGGUGGCUUUGAGCUGCUCCAGUGCCGAAGGGAAGCUGUUAAGUCCGCCGCCUGGGAAGUACGGUCGCAAGACUGAAACUUAA